AGUGAACGCUGGCGGUAGGCCUAACACAUGCAAGUCGAACGGCAGCACAGUAAGAGCUUGCUCUUACGGGUGGCGAGUGGCGGACGGGUGAGGAAUACAUCGGACUCUACUUUUUCGUGGGGGAUAACGUAGGGAAACUUACGCUAAUACCGCAUACGACCUACGGGUGAAAGCAGGGGAUCUUCGGACCUUUCGCGAUUGAAUGAGCCGAUGUCGGAUUAGCUAGUUGGCGGGGUAAAGGCCCACCAAGGCGACGAUCCGUAGCUGGUCUGAGAGGAUGAUCAGCCACACUGGAACUGAGACACGGUCCAGACUCCUACGGGAGGCAGCAGUGGGGAAUAUUGGACAAUGGGCGCAAGCCUGAUCCAGCCAUACCGCGUGGGUGAAGAAGGCCUUCGGGUUGUAAAGCCCUUUUGUUGGGAAAGAAAAGCAGCAGGUUAAUACCCCGCUGUUCUGACGGUACCCAAAGAAUAAGCACCGGCUAACUUCGUG
rnacentral:rRNA from 1 species